rnacentral:rRNA from 1 species
AGAUUGAGCGCUGGCGGCAGGCUUAACACAUGCAAGUCGAGCGGUAACAGAGAUAGCUUGCUAUCUGCUGACGAGCGGCGGACGGGUGAGUAAUGCUUGGGAAUAUGCCUUAUGGUGGGGGACAACAGUUGGAAACGACUGCUAAUACCGCAUAACGUCUACGGACCAAAGGGGGGGAUCUUCGGACCUCUCGCCAUUUGAUUAGCCCAAGUGAGAUUAGUUAGUUGGUGAGGUAAUGGCUCACCAAGGCGACGAUCUCUAGCUGGUUUGAGAGGAUGAUCAGCCACACUGGGACUGAGACACGGCCCAGACUCCUACGGGAGGCAGCAGUGGGGAAUAUUGCACAAUGGGCGAAAGCCUGAUGCAGCCAUGCCGCGUGUGUGAAGAAGGCCUUCGGGUUGUAAAGCACUUUCAGUUGUGAGGAAAGGAGUGUAGUUAAUAGCUGCAUUCUGUGACGUUAACAACAGAAGAAGCACCGGCUAACUUCGUGCCAGCAGCCGCGGUAAUACGAGGGGUGCAAGCGUUAAUCGGAAUUACUGGGCGUAAAGCGUUCGUAGGCGGUCUAUUAAGCAAGAUGUGAAAGCCCAGGGCUCAACCUUGGAACUGCAUUUUGAACUGGUAGACUAGAGUACUGUAGAGGGUGGUGGAAUUUCCAGUGUAGCGGUGAAAUGCGUAGAGAUUGGAAGGAACAUCAGUGGCGAAGGCGGCCACCUGGACAGAUACUGACGCUGAGGAACGAAAGCGUGGGGAGCGAACAGGAUUAGAUACCCUGGUAGUCCACGCCGUAAACGAUGUCAACUAGCCGUUUGUGGACUUGAUCCGUGAGUGGCGCAGCUAACGCACUAAGUUGACCGCCUGGGGAGUACGGCCGCAAGGUUA